AGAGUUUGAUCCUGGCUCAGGAUGAACGCUAGCGACAGGCUUAACACAUGCAAGUCGAGGGGCAGCGGGGGAGUAGCAAUACUCCCGCCGGCGACCGGCGCACGGGUGAGUAACACGUAUGAAACCUGCCCGUAGCAGGGGGGGAUAAGCGGAAGAAAUUCCGUCUAAUACCGCGUAACAACCCUUGGAGGCAUCUCCUCGGGUUUAAAGGAAGCGAUUCCGGCUACGGAUGGUCAUGCGUCGCAUUAGCUGGUUGGCGGGGUAACGGCCCACCAAGGCGACGAUGCGUAGGGGUUCUGAGAGGAAGGUCCCCCACACUGGUACUGAGACACGGACCAGACUCCUAAGGGAGGCAGCAGUGAGGAAUAUUGGUCAAUGGCCGCAGGGCUGAACCAGCCAAGUCGCGUGAGGGAUGACGGUCCUAUGGAUUGUAAACCUCUUUUGUCAGGGAGCAAAGGGCGCCACGUGUGGCGCUUUGCGAGUACCUGAAGAAAAAGCAUCGGCUAACUCCGUGCCAGCAGCCGCGGUAAUACGGAGGAUGCGAGCAUUAUCCGGAUUUAUUGGGUUUAAAGGGUGCGCAGGCGGAAUGUCAAGUCAGCGGUAAAAUUUCGGGGCUCAACCCCGUCGUGCCGUUGAAACUGGCGUUCUUGAGUGAGCGAGAAGUAUGCGGAAUGCGUGGUGUAGCGGUGAAAUGCAUAGAUAUCACGCAGAACUCCGAUUGCGAAGGCAGCAUACCGGCGCUCAACUGACGCUCAUGCACGAAAGCGUGGGUAUCGAACAGGAUUAGAUACCCUGGUAGUCCACGCAGUAAACGAUGAAUACUAACUGUCCGGGCAGAAUGAUGCCUGGGUGGUACAGCGAAAG
rnacentral:rRNA from 1 species